GAGUUUGAUCCUGGCUCAGAUUGAACGCUGGCGGCAUGCCUUACACAUGCAAGUCGAACGCGAAAGCGGGGCAACCCGCAAGUAGAGUGGCGAACGGGUGAGUAAUACAUCGGAACAUAUCCAGUAGCGGGGGAUAACCUGUCGAAAGAUAGGCUAAUACCGCAUACGACCUACGGGUGAAAGCGGAGGACCGCAAGGCUUCGCACUAUUGGAGUGGCCGAUGUCGGAUUAGCUAGUUGGUGAGGUAAAAGCUCACCAAGGCGACGAUCCGUAGCUGGUCUGAGAGGACGACCAGCCACACUGGAACUGAGACACGGUCCAGACUCCUACGGGAGGCAGCAGUGGGGAAUUUUGGACAAUGGGCGCAAGCCUGAUCCAGCCAUGCCGCGUGAGUGAAGAAGGCCUCGGUGUAA
rnacentral:rRNA from 1 species